AAGAGUCCAUAUCGACGGGAUGGUUUGGCACCUCGAUGUCGGCUCGUCGCAUCCUGGGGCUGGAGUCGGUCCCAAGGGUUGGGCUGUUCGCCCAUUAAAGCGGUACGCGAGCUGGGUUUAGAACGUCGUGAGACAGUUCGGUCCCUAUCCGCUGUGCGCGUAGGAGUCUUGAGAAGGGCUGUCCCUAGUACGAGAGGACCGGGACGGACGAACCUCUGGUGUGCCAGUUGUUCUGCCAAGGGCAUGGCUGGUUGGCUACGUUCGGGAGGGAUAACCGCUGAAAGCAUCUAAGCGGGAAGCCUGCUUCGAGAUGAGGACUCCCACCCACUUGAUGGGGUAAGGCUCCCAGUAGACGACUGGGUUGAUAGGCCGGAUCUGGAAGCACCGUGAGGUGUGGAGGUGACCGGUACUAAUAGGCCGAGGGCUUGUCCUCAGUUG
rnacentral:rRNA from 1 species